UACGUAGGGUGCGAGCGUUGUCCGGAAUUACUGGGCGUAAAGCGUGCGCAGGCGGUUUGGUAAGUUUGCUGUGAAAUCCCCGAGCUCAACUUGGGAAUUGCAGUGGAUACUGGCAGGCUGGAGUAUGGUAGAGGAAGGUGGAAUUCCCGGUGUAGCAGUGAAAUGCGUAGAGAUCGGGAGGAACACCAGUGGCGAAGGCGGCCUUCUGGACCAAUACUGACGCUCAUGCACGAAAGCGUGGGGAGCAAACAGG
rnacentral:rRNA from 1 species